ACAGAGAUGAACACAAAGACAUGACUGAACGAGUGAGUUAGCUCUCGUUCUUGUAUCGUCUGUGAGUUGGAGCCUUUUAGAGAGACCUUUAGCGGGCUGGAUGAUGUCAGACGUCCUCAUUUAACCACACGGCCUCCUGAUGCAGGUGUAAUCUUUCUUAGGGUAGUUGUGCGGGAACAAAAUGGAUUGCGGACACUCUUGUAUGAAGAAACGAGGAUUGAAAACUGUCAAGUGAAACAUUAGAUUCCAUGUUUCUGCCAGAUUGCCAAGACAGCUUAUGAUUAACUUGGGCCUUGUAAACUCAGACCCACUUUCUGUCUGAGAGAGCGGUGAAACAAAGGUCAGCAGGACAGUGAACGCUGAACUUUUGUGCCUGGAAGCCUAAAUUCUGGAGUAAAGAGGCUGGAAAGUGAUUGGGAAACUUGCUAAACACAACUACAGCAGGUUUAUUCCACCCCACAUUUUAUUCAUCAUGGCAGAGUCAUCGACAGGCUGGUGGAAGCUCACUUUUAUGAGGAGAAAAAAAUCCCAACCAAAGGUUUUGUAUGAAAUCUCUCCAGAAUUUGUGUCCAACUCACCCAGCAGUCAGCAUCGUUCAAGUGCAGCCUCAGGAGCUGCUGCCCAAACAGAAGAUGCCCAGCUGGAAGCCCGACUGGGGAAGAUCGUGGACAAGACGACAGCCAGUAAGGGGCGUCACGUCAAAGUGUCACAUUCUGGGAGGUUUAAGGAGAAGAAAAGAGUGAGAGCCACACUGGCGGAAAACCCAGAGAUGUUUCCUGGGAGUGGCCCUGCCAGGGAUGAGAACCAGAAGACUGAGAAGUGAACAUUACACAGAUGAAGAUUCACAAACAUGUAAAGACUAACGCAGACGCAUUUAUGAGAGAAAAAAAUACAUACCCUGUUCAAACGGUCCAAUCAGUCAACAAGAAGGAAAGGAAAACAACACAAAAUCCAGCCAAGGAUCUCUGGUAGAUCUGUAUCUUGAGGCACUUUCAGUCUGUUUUCAGCUUUGGUGAUUGUCAAACACAUGCUGCUGAUAGUAGGACAAAAGGUGGUUACAGGGAUUUGAACAACUGUUUAGUCUAUUAGUCUAGUCUCUGUUUUUAGUCGAAACCCUGCCUCAUCACCUUAUAAACACCACUGGAUCACCUGGACUACAGUUCAGCUCAGACACACACAUGGACUGUAUCUACACAGCAAUGUGUCUUUAACUCAGGCUCCAAGCAGAAACUGGAUAGAACACGAGCUAUGACAGCAUAAAUGUGUCAUAUAGCAUAUUUAGUUCAAUGCUUUAACAAUCCAGACCCACUGAGUGGUGAUACUAGUAGUGCAAUAAAUAGUUUUUCAAAUUAAUAUCAUUUCAGGUCCCGGUGAUCAAAUAUCCAUGAAAAGUUUUCUCUCUUCUUUCCUUCAUGUGUUGCAUUGAAUGCAUUUAAUUAUAGUUGAACUUUUGCACUAUGAUAAUGGGCACAAAGAAACACUUCAUCAAAUGACUGGUUCAAAUAAGAAUUCCCAGACUGGCUUUAAAGAAUUUCUUUUUCUCUUUUACCACCAUGUUAUAGUUUAUCAGCAGAUAUUUCAGAUUUCAACAAACUAAAACAAUAUGUGGAUAUUAUUUCUUUCCAAUAGAAAUGUGGAACCACAUUGUUUUGUUUCUGUUUUUCAAACAAAAUUAUCAACUUUUUGUUUGUUUGUAUGGUUUUAUUAACAUAAAACAAAACAAAUUCUACUAGAAUCAAAAUGUGGCACCAUUAAAGCACAACAGAACUACUGGGUCAAACAAUGGAACCAGUAAAGUUAGUGGCUACAGGACUGAAAUCCACCAUGGUUUCUUUAAAAAGAAAUGACCCCACACUCUUCAGACUCUUCACACUGAGUUAAAUGCUGGGGAACGUUCACCUCUGAAUUUCCACAACUGACCAUAUCAACCAGAAGUUUGAAGGCAGAUGUUAGAAGUCACUGAUGUUAAUGUCUAUAAAAAUGAAAUGCAGGAACUUGUAAAUUAUGGGGGGUUAACUAGUAAUUAGUAACAAUUUAUGAAGCUUUUUCACUUAAAUUGUUUACCCUUUUCAUAAAGCUCUUUAAGUGAAACCAGCGUACUCUUUCCCAGAUCUAACACUGAGGGAGAAGAUGCAGCCGAGUAGUGAGGAAACAGAAGGAAAAUUUUAAUGUCAUUGGUGCGAUAAGUUGUGGUGAAUAGCUAGCAUGUUGAGCUUCGCUCUCGACCAAUUCUCCAAACUCAUCGGGACAUAUUUCAGGUGUGAUACACAUGUAUGAAUGUUCUAGAAUUGAGAAGAAACGUGACUGUCUGACAGCUUUCUGGACACUGGACACCAUGAGGCAGUUGUGUCCUUGCAAUGAAUUUGAAUAUGUCCUGAUUUUUGUCCAAUGUGUAGCAGUAAAGAAUGCUUGUUUCAUGUUUUCUUUUUUUCUUUGUAGAUCUAUAGAAGUUUAUCUGUUAAGCAAUAUAGUUUGUGUGUGAUUUUUUUUUGUUUUUGUUUCGGGGGGGGGGGGUUGAUAAAGGUCAUUAAGCAGGAGUGUCUAAAUAGUUCCAGUUUAAAUCAUGUUUCUUCAUGUAUUUUACUAAAGCAGCAAACCUGGAGUAAGAACAUUGAGCUUGCUGAACAGACAUUAUUGAGGUGCUCACGGACACCCACACAUUCAUUUCAUCUCAUUUGUUAUCCAACAGAGGAACACAUCCAACUCUGACUCAAGUAUUGCCUUAUCAUUUUAGCUGGAGAAACACGCUUUUCCUAGAAUCGCCCACUAGAGGGUGCCAUUGUUUAACUCAAAAUAGAAUGUCACUGUUCAGCCGCUGCUCAUCGUUGGGGUUUUUUUUUUUCUUCUUUCUAUUGUUCUAUUUCAAGAAAGGCCAGCAACCCUGAAAGGUGCUGUGUCCACAAAAAUAGAAUAAAAAGGAGCUUGCAAUUGACUUAAGAAGCUUGUUUCAGAAAAGUGCUCAUUUCUUUUAUAGCAUCUACACUGCAAACAUCAACUUUUAGUCUGUUUAGUAGUAGUGUUUAGUUUUAACUUUGUGUGAUAUUAAGAUGGUAUCCUUCAGUUCUUUAUUCAGUUCAAUUCUGCAACUGAUUCGACUGUAAUCACCUGAUUUUGGUACUUGGCAUUGCUAUUAUACAUUUGUAAUAUAAAUAAUUGCUAUAUGAAUAAAACCUGCAACUUUUAACCCCCAAA